AGUAUAAAAUGUAUGUAGUUAAAAUUAUGUUUUUGUUUUAAUAUAAUAUUGUAUUAUUUAUUUAUAUUUUGAGGUAAAAACUAUGUAAUGUUUUCUAUGAUAAUUUAGUUAAUUGAUUGUAAAUCCUUAAAUUAUAUUAUAUUUUUCAGGUGCUUUGUGUUUUUCAUGUACAAAAAGUAACUGUAACAAAGUGUACAAAUCAAGAAAUGCACUGUACACUCAUCAGAAAUACGAAUGUGGGGUAAAACCAAUGUUUAGGUGCACAUUAUGUAUGAAAUCUUUUAAGCAACCAGGAAGUUAUAAGUGUCAUAUGAUAUCUAAACAUAAGCAACUUGUUUAGACAAUAUAAUGUAGCAACUGGUAUAAUACAAAUUGUGACUAAAGCAAAUAUUCACCGGUGUCCAAAUGAAAAGUGUGG